rnacentral:lncRNA from 1 species
UCCCUUCCCUCUCUUCCCCAUCUCCCAACAAGAGCACUAGCCUCUCACAGGAGUGCAGGGACCUUACAGGGCUCUCCCCAUUCCACCGUCUCCUCCUUCUUGCCUUGUUUUCUCACUCCUAAAUGCAGACUCUCCUUUACCUUUUAAUCCACUGGGUUUUAGACUAGAUUAGACAUAGAUCAUAUGCCAAUGGAUGGCAUAUGAUUUGGGGGGUACACCAUCAUCACAGCUAGAUAGCCCAGUGGAUAAUACUGAGCUUGGAGUCAGACUGAAUUACUUGAGUUCAAAUCCUGCUUCAGACACAUAAACUGUGUCAUAGAUAAGUGGGUGGGUAGAUUCUUUCUCUCUCUCUCUCUCUCUCUCUCUCUGUCCCUCAAUCCCCCUUCCUCCCUUCCUCUUUCCCUCCCUCCUCUUUCUCUCUCACCCAGGGUCCCCUAUCCCUAGCCUUUCUCUAAUCCUGCCUAUGUCUGGGCCCAUAUCUAUUUGAUACCUCUGCCCAGAUUAACAAUCAUAGUCACCAGGGAUGAAGCCCCAGGGAGCCUUGAUCAAAUGUCCCUGCCCAGGCAGUGGAUGGUAUUCCAUCUCUUUUCCAAUGUGUUACACCUGAGAUGAGGUCACAAUCAUUGUCCACAGGGAAAUCUAGGGGAAGGGAGUCAUUUCUGGUAUGGAGAAGACCAUCUUCAUGGAGAGACUUUUUUUGCUGAGGAGGACCAAAUUAGGCGUUCCAGCUCACUCCCAGGCUUUUCUACAGCUUAAUUCCUGGCUUAAGAACUUGCUCUCGCCUGCCUGAGGAUUGGCUCGCCCGUAAUUGUCAUUGUAGCCGGCGCUGGCUUAUGGGAGAAUUUAACGGCAGUGAUAUAAGGACAAGUGUCACAAACCAUGCCCAAGGCAAACCUCAAGAAUUACAUCUUCAGUUCAGGAAUGGGAGAGAGAAGCUGGGAUAUAAGAGCAAGGCUAUAGAGUAUUGGGAAACAGGACAGGACCUCAAGAGCUUCUUCUAGCCUGCCAUCUAGCAAGUCUAAUCCUUCUACUACAUCAUAGCCCUUCAUAUCUUGGAAAACAGCCAUCAUGUCACUCAACACUACACCCCAUCCCUACUGCCUCUGCCUGUCUUCUCCACGCAAAAGAUCACUAACUCCUCCAUCUAGUCCUCAUUGGGUCCUUUACCAUUCUGGGUGCCUUUUUUAGAUGAUCUCUGGCUUGUUGGUGUCCUUCCUAAUUUCCAGGUGAGUAUACUACUGACUAUGAAGUGUCCUUUGGAGGUAGUGGAGAAGCCACAUUCAAAUCCUGAUUGCUUUUAUCCACUCUGUGAUCUCGGCCAACUCCCUUCACCUGCCUGGGCCUCUGUUCUCUUAUCUGAAAAGUGAGAAAGUUGGCCCUAAAGAUCUCUAGGAUUCCUCACAAUUCCAAAUCUAUCAUGUCUGGAUGAUAUGACCAGAAAACCCUUCCAAAAUGAUAAUGGAAGGGCAAGGGCAUACCAACAUUUAUAUCAGAA